rnacentral:rRNA from 1 species
UACAGAGGUGCCGAGCGUUAGGCGGAAUCACUAGGGCUUAAAGCGCGUGUAGGCGGGUCGUUAAGUGUCCGCGUGAAAUCCCACGGCUCAACCGUGGAACUGCCGGGCAUACUGGCGACCUUGAGGCACUUAGGGGCGAGCGGAACAAAUGGUGGGAGCGGUGAAAUGCGUAGAUAUCAUUUGGAACGCCGACGGUGAAAACAGCUCGCUGGGAGUGUCCUGACGCUGAGACGCGAAAGCCAGGGGAGCGAACGGG